rnacentral:rRNA from 1 species
CAGGCCUAAUACAUGCAAGUCGAACGAGAUUGUUGUAGCAAUAUGACAUGAAAGUGGCGCACGGGUGCGUAACACGUAUGCAAUCUACCUCUAAUUGGAGAAUAGCCUCGAGAAAUCGGGAUUAAUACUCCAUAAUAUUAUCGGAGGGCAUGCUUUGGUAAUUAAAGCUUCGGCGCUGAGAGAUCGGUGUGCGUCUGAUUGGCUAGUUGGCAGGGUAACGGCCUACCAAGGCGACGAUCAGUAGGGGAGGUGAGAGCAUGAACCCCCACACGGGUACUGAGACACGGACCCGACUCCUACGGGAGGCAGCAGUAAGGAAUAUUGGACAAUGGAGGGAACUCUGAUCCAGCCAUGCCGCGUGAAGGAUGAAGGCGCUCAGCGUUGUAAACUUCUUUUGAAUGGGAACAAUAACUUCUACGUGUAGGAGCUUGAGGGUACCAUUAGAAUAAGCACCGGCUAACUCCGUGCCAGCAGCCGCAGUAAAAC